rnacentral:lncRNA from 9 species
CUCUCUCCCCAUAUUGGAGGUUCAUUUUAGAAGUUAGCAUUUGGGUAAAAGUAGAUCCAGAAAAGACCUGGACUGAAACUGAUGGUUAAUUAACAUGGGUCAGAGAUGGAGGCAAAGCCUUUCAGGACUUUCUGUCUCCUCAUUCGGUGAAGAGAAUGAGAGUAUUUUGUUUGUAGGAAGACAGGUGGAUCUUGGCAGGCAGAAAUGCAGAGUUGCUUUUAUUGUUGUAUGGAAGUUCUAGCAACGGUAGAAGACUAGAAGACGUACAUGGCUGUGGGAUCCAAAGAGCCAGUCCAGAAAAUGAUGAUGCUUCAGAAAUUCUUCAAGCUCCAGGACAGAUUUGCUAACACUUACACAGAAGUGAUUUCCUUACUAAGAGAGAUGGUGCUCAUGAACUUGGGAACAGUGAGGAACGUCUGGAUUGAAACGUCUUUACCUUCUUUUCUCACUAUAUUUUCAGAAAAAUGGCAUGGGGUCAGUUAAAGGUUUCUUUCCUAUUCCUACAUUAUCUCUCUCAUCCAGUGUAUCUUCUCAAUGGGAAUUUUUCAAGGGGAGGGGGACUUAGUGGGAAAGAGCUCUUACUGGGAAAAAUCUAUCUCCCCUACUUUCAAGAAGAGGGUUAUAUGCCUUCCUGAGCUCAUCCUGCCAAUUUCUGUCCAGGGUCCCUUUGAUCUCUUCUUACCGCCUUACGUGGUUGUAGGAAGGAUU